rnacentral:rRNA from 1 species
AUGGACCGACAAGUUCCCGCUACAGAUCCUUGGUGGUACCCCGGCGAGGCCGCAGCAUCCACCGGCGACGACGACUUCCUCGACAUUGAAGGUCUACUCGGGUUGGCGUGGGAAGGAGGCACGGCUCUUCCCGGCGUCGGCUCUCCGCCACCGGCGCUGGGGCCACCGUGCGCGUCGCCUCCAGAGCCAACACCUUCCGAAGACGUGAUGGCAGCGUGGCUCUACCCGAUCGUCAGUGGCGAGGACAAUGCCGGGGACGGCCCCAUGGUGAAGGGCAAACCGUCGGCCAAGGCGUCGGGGAGUUUGGGGAUGACGGAGAGCGAGGGGAAUCUUCCGGCUACGGACGGCAUGUACCAUGUCAAGGACACAAACAUAACGAGCGAUUCCAGCGAGAGGAGGAAGGCGGCAUCAGGAGGCUCAAACAAAACAAGGUCGUCUCGUCACUCAGAUACACACAACGAUACAGAAAAGAGGCGAAGAUGCAAGAUCAGUGACAGGCUCAGGACCCUGCAGCAGCUCGUCCCUGGAUGCAAGAAGUGUAACCAGGCGUCGACGCUGGAGCAGACGAUCCAGUACAUGAAGUCGCUGCAGCGGCAGGUCCAGGCAAUGAAGUCGCUGCAGCGGCAGGUCCAAGCAGUGUACCCCGUCAUGCAGACGGCAUCGGCGCCGGCCGUCGCGGUGACACUGGGCGCCGCACCCGCCUCGGCAGCUCCAGGGACGGUGCUCGCGGGAGGAUGCGUCCCGCUCCUGCCUGCAGGAAUGGCUCCGUUCGGAGCCAUGCUCCCGUACCCUCCUUACCACGCCGUGAUGAUGCCAGUACAGGCGGCGAAGGCGGUCCCAUUUUACCUCCCACGGCCGGCAGCCUCUGCUCCUCUAGAGUGGCAGUGCUCCGUCUCCAGGGAGCAGCAUUACAAAAAGGGGCAAGGAAGGAGGGAGAGAUUGUAA